AUUGAACGCUGGCGGCAGGCCUAACACAUGCAAGUCGAGCGGAUGAAGGGAGCUUGCUCCUGGAUUCAGCGGCGGACGGGUGAGUAAUGCCUAGGAAUCUGCCUGGUAGUGGGGGAUAACGUCCGGAAACGGGCGCUAAUACCGCAUACGUCCUGAGGGAGAAAGUGGGGGAUCUUCGGACCUCACGCUAUCAGAUGAGCCUAGGUCGGAUUAGCUAGUUGGUGGGGUAAAGGCCUACCAAGGCGACGAUCCGUAACUGGUCUGAGAGGAUGAUCAGUCACACUGGAACUGAGACACGGUCCAGACUCCUACGGGAGGCAGCAGUGGGGCAUAUUGGACAAUGGGCGAAAGCCUGAUCCAGCCAUGCCGCGUGUGUGAAGAAGGUCUUCGGAUUGUAAAGCACUUUAAGUUGGGAGGAAGGGCAGUAAGUUAAUACCUUGCUGUUUUGACGUUACCAACAGAAUAAGCACCGGCUAACUUCGUG
rnacentral:rRNA from 1 species